rnacentral:lncRNA from 10 species
CUUAAACACCAAGAACUCAGACUCUGUAGAAAUUAAAGUUUCAUUAUCCUUGCAAAGUAAAGGACCCUGUUCAGCUGAGAUUUUGGCAAAAGUCAAAGGGAAUAAGGAAUCUGUAAUGGAAGAAGGCUGCUAUCAGUGCCCACUUAAACCUCAGAAUGCUACAGAGGCAGAGAUUAUUGCAGUGGUUUAUGUUUCUUUAGACAGUUUUCUUUCUCCUCAUAUUUUUUGUUACAAACUUAAAUGAAGAAGGUGACUAGUGUUUAAAGUUUCAAGAGAAAUGUAACUACUCUGAGGUUUCCCCAUGAUGAUAAAGUUGCUGAUGGGACUUUCUGAGUCCUUUGUUUGGGAUGCUAAGGGGGAAAGGGGACAGAUCAUGUCGGUUAUCAUCUCUGUGCUUAUCCAGAUCGAGCAGUCCCCUUUCUCUGCCAACUCUCUCCCACAGCAGGCCUACCUAGGUCCCACGUCCAACAGGGCUUUCGUGACUUUGGCUUCAGCUAAUUUGGGACCUCCACCAAAAAAACUGGAGAAUGUGUGAUAUUUUGAUUUACUAUAAAAAUAUAUGUUUGGUCUUUGUCUCUGUUCCUGGCACAGGGCUCCUAAAACUCUUGGAAUUGCGUAGGUUGUUAAGUACAACAAAGGUGAGUGGAGCAACAUUUAUUAUUCAUGAUAAGCCCCUUUCACCACUCAAAUUAUGUUAAUAAGGUGAUUUUUGAAAAGCCUACAGGAUGGGGGCUGGUUUCCAGGGGAACCAACUUUGGGAUAAGAGGGUUAAAACUUUCAGCCUCACUGCAUCCCCCUACUUCCAGGAAGGGGAGAGGGGCUGGAAAUUGACUUGUCACCAAUGGCCAGUGAUUAAUCAAACAUGCCUUAUAAAAACUCAAAAGGACAAAGUUCAGAGAGCUUCUGGAUUGGCUAACACAAAUAGGUACUAUGAAGGCAGCAUGCCUAGAGACACCAUGGAAGCCCUGUAUCCCUUCCCCACAUCUGGCCCUGUACAUCUCUUCCUUCUGACUAUUCCUAAAUUAUAUUAUUUUAUAACAAACUCAUAGUCUAUUAAAAAAGAUCUCUUUUCCUGAGUUCUGUGAUUUGUUCUAGCAAGUGAUCAAACCCAGGGAGGGAAUUGUGGGAACCUCUGAUGUGUAGCUGUUGGUCAGAGCACAGGUGACGACCUGGACUUGCCAUCGAUCUGAACUGGGGACAGUCUUGUGGGACUGGGCCCUUACCACGUGGAAACUGAUGCUAUCUCCAGGUAAAUUGAGUCAGAAGUGAGUUACAUUACAGGACACUCAGUUGGUGUCCACCAAAAAGUGAAGAAUUGCUUGAUGUCAGAAGUGGAAGAUUGAGAGUAAGUGUGGGAGUAUAGAGAGUAUAGAGAAAAACAGUGUUUUUUUCCCCUUUUAGGUAGAGGAGAAUGAGGUCAGGAUGCUUAUUUCCCUGGCUACCUCCCUAUAAAGUUGUCAAAGGCUAGCAGAGUCCCCCAGCCAAGAUCUUCCUCUCAAUAUAGCCUGCUCUGCAGGACUUUCUCUUCUUGUUGGUUCUGAUUCACUCUCUGCCUUUAUUCCUUCAGGUCUGUGGGGGUAAUUGCCCUGUUGCUGCUUGCCCCAGUCCUGUACUACCUACCACCUGCCCACACAUUUGCAAUAAGGUUUUCUCAAAGUAUCCUAAUUUGAAUGUGCUACCUAUUUCUUAUUGGGAACUUAACUAACAUUAUUGGUAAGAAAAAUGAGAGCAUAGAUAUUAGUUAACAGAUGAUUGAGAAGAUGAAAGAGAUGCUGAUAAUCAUUAUUUUGACCUAAAGUUACUGUGGUGUGGUGGUUUUAAAAUACGUCAACAAAUUCUGUGGUAUUCUUUCCUCCAAGAAGUGGAGCUUAAUCCCCAUCCUUGAGUGUUGGUAGGACUUAGUGACUUGCCUCUAAUGGAUAGAAUAAAAGUGGAAGUGAUAGUAUACAAUUUCAGAGACUAUGUUGUUAAAAGUACAGUGAAUUCUUCCUUUCUCUCUUUGAUCAUCUGCUUUGGGGAAAGCCGGUUACCAUGUCAUGAAGACACGGAAGAAACUCUGAAGAGGUACAUGUGGUAAGGAGCUGAGGCCCCAGCCAAUAAUCAUAUGAGUUAGUCAUCUAGGAAGACGAUCCUCCAACCUCAUUCAAGCCUACCAAUGACUGUGGCCCCUGUCUAUAUCCUGACUGCAACUACAUGAGGGACCCUGCACCUGAACCACCCAGUAGAAAGAAGUACAAACAAGUUCCUUUCCCUUCAAAACGAAGCAGUUGGGAAGAAUUUCUCACGUCCUCAUUCGGAGCAAAGAAGAUGGAAAUUACAGGAGUCUGUCCCCCUCAGUCUCUGGCUGCAGGAGAAAAUUCUGUGCCUACACUUUCAAAAGAAUGCAGGCAACUCUUGGACUAAUGGAUCUCACCUCUUCUUGAGCCAUUUCUCUGUUGCAAAAGAUGGAAAAGGUAGAGAUGCUGAAAAAGAUGGAGAGUUCCACUCAGCCCCUGCCAAAGAAGCCUAGGGAGUAGACAUCCUCUAGGGCACAAAUAUUGGAUGUGAUACAGGAAGAGAAGUUUGAAAGGAGAGGAAUACAAACACAAGUAGAUAAUGCUGCGCUGUAGGUUUCCCUCUGUCAUGUGCUAAGUAAUGCAGCUGAAGACAGGAGACUGAUUUUAGCCUUGGGUUACCAGCACUGGACUAGAUAGUUUGGUUGUGAAGAUAGUUGUAGAGCAGUUAGAUAAACUGUUCACCAAGACUGGUCUACACUAAAAACAAAGUAAGGGAGAGGGUUUCAGGUCACUCUGUCUUUUGUAGUGCUCUAUCUGGACCACACAGUUAUCCUGGAUUUAAUUGCCUACCAAGAUCUCCUACACACCAGAGAGGGGUAAAGCAGGGCUGAGCAUGCACAGUAUGAGUUCAUUUUAGGGGAACAAACAGUUUUGCGGUGGGGUGGAAGCGGGAACAUCAAAGCCAGAAUGUAAAAAUGCAGUACCUCAUAUAGACUUUUCCAUUGUUUUACCAAAGGGCCUGAAUCAAAUAGCUCACCAGCUCAGUACCUCUGUUCUGCCUUGUAUAAAUUGAGGCAAUACUGAAUUCUGUCCUUUCUCUCUCUUCCUUGUGUCUUCCUUCCUUGUAUUUAUUUAUUUAACUGCUAUUUCUUUAACACCGUGAAUGCAAGUCACUGCUCAAGGCCCUAUAAAAUGGGCCUUGCUCUCACAGAGCUUAUAUGCUAGUGAGGAAAACAGAUGUUUAUUUAAAUAAGUAAACUCUGAUAAAUGCUAUAAAGGCAAAGAACAGAUGACUCACCUCUUAGUGGAGUAACGUGCAGUAAUAUGUGGAGAGGCCCUCUGUGGGAAAAACUUGAGUAGGAAUAUUAAUGAUGAAGAUAUUAAACUUGCCGGAAGAGAGAAGGGCUGUUGAGAUUGUAGAGCAUCAGCAGUUCAAUUGGGAUAUGUGGAGAGAAUGAAAGGCAGAGAGAGAAAGAGGCAGAGGCACUGAGAGAGGAGGCAGAGAGAGGGGGAGAUAUGGAGAGAGAGAGAGAGAGAGCAAGGAAGGAGAGAAGAGAUCUCUCCAGCUCUCACUUUCCCCUCCUCUCUCACUCUCCUUGAGGAGGGCCUGACUCUCACUAGCUCAGCAUUUCAUCAACAGUCCAUGCAGCCAACAGCAACCUUUGCUCUCACUGGUCUUCAUAUCUCCUUUUUCCCUUUGGAGGGGGAAGUGAUUGGGGAGUGGAAAAGCAUGCAUGUGCUGUGUCCAGGCUAUCUAUCAAGACAGGCAGAGGAGGGCACCAGGGAGGGCUGAGAUUUCCAAAUCACACUGUCAGGGUGAACUUAAUGUUUGUUGUUAAUGACUUUGACGUUAUUAGGCUAGACAGAGGGAUGUCGAUGUGAAUCAUUUUCAGUGUUAUUCCAUAUUCAUAAUGGACUAAAUAUAGUAAGAGGAAUGGGACUGGCGGGCACGGGCCUCUGGUUGGUCAUAGUGGAUGAUUCCCAUGAUGAAAUUAAAUGCCAGCCCAGCUCUUUUGUUCCCUAAGAGGCACAGAAACCCAUAUCCCUAGCCUCCAACCCAAAGAUGAAACCGAGACACAGUUGUUAGAUUUUUACCCUUCUUUCCCAGUAGCCAAAUUCAAAUAACAUUUCAUGAGGCCAGGCACUCGGUUCUGAUUUGUGGAGAUUUAGAGUCUACAGGUGCCGCCAGGGGCAGCCAAUCCCAACCUGUCUCUUCCUAAGGCAGUCUGUGCCUCUACUCCGUGCCAAAGCCUGGGGGUAGUGCUUUUCAUUAAAUGAGAAGGUUAAUGUUUUCACAUAUGUAAAAGAGAAUAGGGUGGGGGAGGGGUUGCAAUGAAAUGAAAAUAAAUAAGCCUUUUUCUUUGUAAAUCGUGAAAGGCAGAGGUCAAGAAAAAAAAGAAGUGAAGAAAAAAUGGUCAUUGUUUUAUUUGUAGAAUUCAAAACUAAGAACUCAGCUGGAAUGCCUAGUAUGCUAGAAGUUCUAGAUCAUAAGUUUUGAUGGAUUACAUUUAUUGUUGACUGUAUGCAAUAUAUCAUUUAACAUUUAGUCCCAAAUAAAGAAAAAAAGAAUUUAUUAAUUUGGUUUUUAUGUAUAAAAUUUCUGAUUAUAAAAUAAUAUAUAUUCAACAUAAAACAACUGAAAAAAAUCAAUAGGUAAAAUUACAUGUAAUCUACCACCCUAGGAUGACCACUCCAGAAAUUUUGUCUCUCAUUCAAUACUUUUCCUAUGUAUGUAUAUUGAUGAGUGUUUGUGGUAUGUAAAUAUAUUUGUUGACAUCUCUCUGUAUAUUUUACAUCUAUAUCUAUAUCUUCAACCAUGUUCUGAUUGGCAUAUGUAUGCACAUUAUACUGCCUUGAGGUAAUAAACUUUAAAAUUCUUC